rnacentral:rRNA from 1 species
AGCAUAUCAAUAAGCGGAGGAAAAGAAACCAACCGGGAUUGCCUCAGUAACGGCGAGUGAAGCGGCAACAGCUCAGAUUUGAAAGCCGAGUCCUCCGACUUUGCAUUGUAAUCUGAAGAGGAAAUCUCGCGAACGAUUAGUCUCAAGUCUCCUGGAACGGAGCGUCAUGGAGGGUGAGAAUCCCGUGGAGAUGAAAUCCGACGCAUGUGAGAUUCCUUCGACGAGUCGAGUUGUUUGGGAAUGCAGCUCUAAUUGGGAGGUAAAUUCCUUCUAAAGCUAAAUAUCGGCUGGAGACCGAUAGCGCACAAGUAGAGUGAUCGAAAGAUGAAAAGCACUUUGAAAAGAGAGUCAAACAGCACGUGAAAUUGUUGAAAGGGAAGCGCUGUCCAUCAGACUUGUUGAUCAGGAUCACCCAUCGUUCUCGGUGGGGCACUCUUGGUUGGGCAGGCCCGCAUCGGUUGGAGCGGUCGGAGAAAGACCAUGGGAAUGUAGCUCUUCGUGAGUGUUAUAGCCCGUGGUGUAAUACGGCCAGCUUCGACCGAGGUCUGCGCUUCGGCUCGGAUGCGGGCGUAAUGGUGGUCAGCGGCCCGUCUNGAAACACGGACCAAGGGCGA